rnacentral:rRNA from 1 species
AGAGUUUGAUCAUGGCUCAGAGUGAACGCUGGCGGCGUGCCUAACACAUGCAAGUCGAACGGACUUUAAGAGCUUGCUCUUAAAGUUAGUGGCGCACGGGUGAGUAACACGUAGCUAAUCUGCCCUAUGCUAAGGGACAACAGUUGGAAACGACUGCUAAUACCUUAUACUCCGGUAUUUCAUAAGAGAUAUCGGGAAAGUUUUUCGGCAUAGGAUGAGGCUGCGGUCUAUCAGCUUGUUGGUGAGGUAACGGCUCACCAAGGCUAUGACGGAUAGCUGGUCUGAGAGGAUGAUCAGCCACACUGGAACUGAGACACGGUCCAGACUCCUACGGGAGGCAGCAGUGGGGAAUUUUACACAAUGGGCGAAAGCCUGAUGUAGCAACGCCGCGUGGAGGAUGACGGAUUUAGGUCUGUAAACUCCUUUUAUAGGGGAAGAAAUUUGACGGUACCCUAUGAAUAAGCACCGGCUAACUCCGUGCCAGCAGCCGCGGUAAUACGGGGGGUGCAAGCGUUACUCGGAAUCACUGGGCGUAAAGGGAGCGUAGGCGUUCCAUUAAGUCUUGAGUGAAAGCCCACAGCCUAACUGUGGAACUGCUUGGGAAACUGAUAGAAUUGAGUAUGGAAGAGGUCAGUGGAAUUUCCGGUGUAGGGGUAAAAUCCGUAGAUAUCGGAAGGAAUACCAGAAGCGAAGGCGACUGACUGGGACAUUACUGACGCUGAGGCUCGAAAGCGUGGGGAGCAAACAGGAUUAGAUACCCUGGUAGUCCACGCCCUAAACGAUGAACACUAGUCGUUACGGAGCUAGUCUCUGUAGUGACGCAGCUAACGCAUUAAGUGUUCCGCCUGGGGAGUACGGUCGCAAGAUUAAAACUCAAAGGAAUAGACGGGGACCCGCACAAGCGGUGGAGCAUGUGGUUUAAUUCGAAGAUACGCGAAGAACCUUACCAAGGCUUGACAUGUAAGGAACCUUGCAGAAAUGUAGGGGUGCUAGCUUGCUAGAACCUUAACACAGGUGCUGCAUGGCCGUCGUCAGCUCGUGUCGUGAGAUGUUGGGUUAAGUCCCGCAACGAGCGCAACCCUUGUCUUCAGUUACCAUCAUUCAGUUGGGGACUCCGGAGAUACUGCCCCGGUCAACGGGGAGGAAGGUGGGGAUGACGUCAAGUCAGCAUGGCCUUUAUAUCUGGGGCUACACACACGCUACAAUGGUCGGUACAAUGGGUCGCUAAGCCGCGAGGUAGAGCCAAUCCCCAAAGCCGGCCUCAGUUCAGAUCACAGGCUGCAACCCGCCUGUGUGAAGUCGGAGUUGCUAGUAAACGCGCGUCAGCUAUAGUGCGUUGAAUACGUUCUCGGGCCUUGUACACACCGCCCGUCACGUCAUGGGAGCUGGUAACACCUGAAGCCGGUAGCCUAACCGAAAGGAGGGCGCUGUCGAGGGUGGUGCUGGUGACUGGGACGAAGUCGUAACAAGGUAGCCAAGGGCGAA